rnacentral:rRNA from 1 species
CGUCCGCCGAUUAUCCAAGGGUUCCAGGGUCAAGUUUGUCUGCCCUGGGUGAGUCGGGUCCUAAGGCGAGGCCGACAGGCGUAGUCGAUGGGUAACCAGUUGAUAUUCUGGUACCGGCUUGUCACCGUCCGUGUCGAGGUGUGUGAUGCUAAGCAUGUGAGCUUGUCUUGGGAGUGUUUUUGAUGCUUCUGGGGUGGGUGAGUGUGUGAACCGAUCAUGUAGUAGGCAAGCUGCGGAGGGACGCAGUGAGGUAGCUCAUCCCCGGUGAUGGUUGUCCGGGGCUAAGUGUGUGGACUGUCUGGUAGGUAAAUCCGCUGGGCGUGAAGGUUGAGGCAUGAUGGGGAGCCCAUGGUUGUGGGUGAGUGAGUGAUCCUGUACUGUCGAGAAAAGCUUCGUGAGCGAGGUGGCGGGUCCGCCCGUACCCUAAACCGACACUGGUGGAUAGGUAGAGUAUACCGAGGCGAUCGAGUGAAUCGUGGUGAAGGAACUCGGCAAAAUGCCCCCGUAACUUUGGGAUAAGGGGGACCUGAGCUGUCGUGCACCCGUGCGGUGUGGUGGCGGUGAGGGGCGCAGAGUCCAGGGGGAAACGACUGUUUACCAAAAACACAGGUCCGUGCGAAGUCGUAAGACGAUGUAUACGGACUGACUCCUGCCCGGUGCUGGAAGGUUAAGGGGAACUGUGAGUGUAUGCGUAGCGGUGAACUUAAGCCCCAGUAAACGGCGGUGGUAACUAUAACCAUCCUAAGGUAGCGAAAUUCCUUGUCGGGUAAGUUCCGACCUGCACGAAUGGAGUAACGAUUUCCCUACUGUCUCCACCAUGAACUCGGUGAAAUUGCAUUACGAGUAAAGAUGCUCGUUACGCGCAGCAGGACGGAAAGACCCCGGGACCUUUACUAUAGUUUGGUAUUGGUGAUUGGGACGGUUUGUGUAGGAUAGGUGGGAGACGUUGAUGCGGCCACGCUAGUGGUGGUGGAGUCGUUGGUGAAAUACCACUCUGAUUGUUCUGGUUAUCUCACUGUGGACCGUGAUCCGGUUCAAGGACAGUGCCUGAUGGGUAGUUUGACUGGGGCGGUCGCCUCCUAAAGGGUAACGGAGGCGCCCAAAGGUUCCCUCAGCCUGGUUGGUAAUCAGGUGGUGAGUGUAAGUGCACAAGGGGGCUUGACUGUGAGACUGACAGGUCGAGCAGGGACGAAAGUCGGGACUAGUGAUCUGACGGUGGCUUGUGGAUGCGCCGUCACUCAACGGAUAAAAGGUACCCCGGGGAUAACAGGCUGAUCUUGCCCGAGCGCUCAUAGCGACGGCAUGGUUUGGCACCUCGAUGUCGGCUCGUCGCAUCCUGGGGCUGGAGUCGGUCCCAAGGGUUGGGCUGUUCGCCCAUUAAAGCGGCACGCGAGCUGGGUUCAGAACGUCGUGAGACAGUUCGGUCCCUAUCCGCUGCGCGCGGAGGAAUCUUGAGAAGGGCUGUCUUUAGUACGAGAGGACCGAGACGGACUGACCUCUGGUGUGCCAGUUGUUCUGCCAAGAGCAUGGCUGGUUGGCUACGUCGGGUUGUGAUAACCGCUGAAAGCAUCUAAGCGGGAAGCACGCUUCAAGAUAAGGGUUCCCACAGGAGUGUUCCUGGUAAGGUCCCCGAGAGAUGAUCGGGUUGAUAGGCCAGACGUGGACGCAUCGUAAGGUGUGGAGCUGACUGGUACUAAUAGACCGAGGACUUUCAUUAA